rnacentral:rRNA from 1 species
AUAAAGAAUAAUUAGUGGCAGACGGGUGAGUAAUGCAUAGGAAUCUACCUAGUAGUAUGGGAUAGCCACUAGAAAUGGUGGGUAAUACUGUAUAAUCCCUGCGGGGGAAAGAUUUAUCGCUAUUAGAUGAGCCUAUGUUAGAUUAGCUAGUUGGUAGGGUAAAGGCCUACCAAGGCGAUGAUCUAUAGCUGGUCUGAGAGGAUGAUCAGCCACACUGGAACUGAGAUACGGUCCAGACUCCUACGGGAGGCAGCAGUGGGGAAUAUUGGACAAUGGGCGCAAGCCUGAUCCAGCUAUGCCGCGUGAGUGAGGAAGGCCUUAGGGUUGUAAAACUCUUUCAGUAGGGAAGAUAAUGACGGUACCUACAGAAGAAGUCCCGGCAAACUCCGUGCCAACAGCCGCGGUAAUACGGAGGGGGCAAGCGUUGUUCGGAAUUAUUGGGCGUAAAGGGCAUGUAGGCGGUUCGGUAAGUUAAAGGUGAAAUGCCAGGGCUUAAC